GGUGGCUCAGUGGUAGAACAUCUGCUUGGCAUGCAAAAGGUCCCAGGUUCAAUCCCCAGCAUCUCUA
rnacentral:tRNA from 1 species